CGGCCGUUCCCGUGGUGGUGACGGCGGCGUUCUUCCUGCUGCCCGCGGACUCCGACGGCCGGUCGGCGGCGGCUCCGGCCGCCUCGGCCGG
rnacentral:tRNA from 1 species